rnacentral:rRNA from 1 species
CAGUCGAACGGUAACGGAAAUAGCUUGNUAUUUUGCUGACGAGUGGGGCACGGGUGAGUAAACUAUAGUUAAUGUACCCCAAAGACUGGGAUAGCCACUGGAAACGGUGAUUAAUACUACAUACACCUUCUUAUCACAAGGUAAGAAGGGAAAUGUCUUUUCGCUUUGGGAUCGGACUAUAUCCUAUCAGCUAGUUGGUGAGGUAAUGGCUCACCAAGGCAAUGACGGGUAGCGGUUCUGAGAGGAUGAUCCGCCACACUGGUACUGAGACACGGACCAGACUCCUACGGGAGGCAGCAGUGAGGAAUAUUGCACAAUGGGGGGAACCCUGAUGCAGCAACGCCGCGUGGAGGAUGACGCAUUUCGGUGUGUAAACUCCUUUUAUAUGUCAAGAAAAUGACGGUAUCUUAUGAAUAAGCACCGGCUAACUCCGUGCCA